CGGCGAGGACCAAGCCUGAGAAGGGGCGCCCCUCGCCGGACCUUUCCCUGCGGAUCCUGGCCGCGGUCGCCCCGAAAAGGGACUUUGGCCGGACGGCGGGGCGGGGGGCGCUCCCGGCUCAGCCAGCCUCGUGCCCGGAAAGGGCCGUCUCAACCACUGCACGUGUACAGAUUGGAGGAUGCAUGAGCUGAGGUGGGCACGAGUCACAGAUGGUUACACCUUUAUGGGUGUAAAGAAAAACAGGAAAGCCACAGACUUGUGGUAGAGAGAGCAGAUGUUAAGGGUGUAAGUAUGUCUGCAAUUGAACUGCAGGGGUGAGUGGGAAAUCCUUGCCUGUGUGCAGAGGAUUGUUCGGCCAUUUGCUUUGCUUAGCUAAAUAAAGAGACUGAAACUGCC